UUGAAUGGCCUCAAUCAUCCCAUCAAGAAGAUUGCCGACUUCCAACCCUACUGCAACCUCAUUGAGCUAGUGUAUCAAGCUACCAAAGCAGAACGUCAAGUGCAAGAUGACUUCAAGUAUGCCAAGUACUCUUCCAAGAGAUACUGCUUCUCCAACAACCAAGCUUCAACAACUCCAACACCUUCUACCUCAACCAAGCCAUCUACAAGCAACGGCAACAAGUCAAGUUACAAGAAAACUUCAACAACCUCAAGUCGUCCUCCUACUAGAAGCAACUUCAAGUCGAGAGCUUCAUCAUCUACUCCAACUGAUGAGACUGUCAAGACAAGAUCCAUCAAGUGUUUCACAUGUGGCGGCCGAGGUCACAAGUCCUUUGAGUGUACCAACAAGCGCACCAUGAUCCUCAAUGAUGACGGAACAUAUGACUCCAUGAGUGAAGAGGAGAUGGAAGCCCUUGAGUAA
rnacentral:rRNA from 1 species